GAUGAACGCUAGCGGCAGGCCUAAUACAUGCAAGUCGAACGGUAUAGCGGUAGUAGCUUGCUACUGCUUCAUGAGAGUGGCGCACGGGUGCGUAACGCGUGCGCCACCUACCCCUAUCAGGGGGAUAGCCCGGCGAAAGUCGGAUUAACACCGCAUAUCAUCAACAGUUUGCAUGUUCGGUUGAUUAAAUAUUUAUAGGAUAUGGCUGGGCUCGCGUGGCAUUAGCUAGUUGGUAGGGUAACGGCUUACCAAGGCAACGAUGUCUAGGGGCUCUGAGAGGGGACUGCCCCACACAGGGGCCGAGCUACGGACCAGACUCGGACGGGACGCAUCAGUAAGGAAGAUUGGGGGAUGAGCGCAAGCCGGAACCAGCCAUGCCGCGUGCAGGAGGACUGCCCGAUGGGGUGUAAACUGCUGUUAUCAGGUAAUAAUCCCCUAUAAGAGUAGCGGGUUGACGGUACCUGAAGAAUAAGGAUCGGCUAACUCCGUG
rnacentral:rRNA from 1 species